UACGUAGGGUGCAAGCGUUGUCCGGAAUUAUUGGGCGUAAAGGGCUCGUAGGCGGUUUGUCGCGUCGGGAGUGAAAACUCAGGGCUUAACCCUGAGCCUGCUUCCGAUACGGGCAGACUAGAGGUAUGCAGGGGAGAAUGGAAUUCCUGGUGUAGCGGUGAAAUGCGCAGAUAUCAGGAGGAACACCGGUGGCGAAGGCGGUUCUCUGGGCAUUACCUGACGCUGAGGAGCGAAAGCGUGGGGAGCGAUCCGG
rnacentral:rRNA from 1 species